rnacentral:rRNA from 1 species
ACGGCUCAGUAACACGUGGAUAACCUACCCUAAGGUGGGGGAUAACCCCGGGAAACUGGGGAUAAUACCCCAUAGUCUAUGGAAGCUGGAAUGCUCUAUAGUUGAAAGAUUUAUCGCCUUAGGAUGGGUCUGCGGCCGAUUAGGUAGUUGUUGGGGUAACGGCCCAACAAGCCUUUGAUCGGUACGGGUUGUGGGAGCAAGAGCCCGGAGAUGGAUUCUGAGACACGAAUCCAGGCCCUACGGGGCGCAGCAGGCGCGAAAACUUUACAAUGCGGGAAACCGUGAUAAGGGAACUCCGAGUGCCCGUAAACGCGGGCUGUCCAUCUGCUUAAAAAACAGGUGAAGAAAGGGCCGGGCAAGACCGGUGCCAGCCGCCGCGGUAAUACCGGCGGCUCGAGUGGUGGCCACUAUUACUGGGCUUAAAGCGUCCGUAGCUUGGUUGUUAAGUCUCUUGGGAAAUCUGUCGGCUUAACCGACAGGCGUUUAAGGGAUACUGGCAAUCUAGGGACCGGGAGAGGUGAGAGGUACUCCAGGGGUAGGAGUGAAAUCCUGUAAUCCUUGGGGGACCACCUGUGGCGUAGGCGUCUCACCAGAACGGCUCCGACAGUGAGGGACGAAAGCUGGGGGAGCAAACCGGAUUAGAUACCCGGGUAGUCCCAGCCGUAAACGAUGCGCGUUAGGUGUAUCGGUGACCACGAGUCACCGAGGUGCCGAAGGGAAACCGUGAAACGUGCCGCCUGGGAAGUACGGUCGCAAGGCUGAAACUUAAAGGAUUUGGCGGGGGAGCAC